UUUUUUUUUUUUUUUUUUUUUUUUUUUUCCCUAAUGUGCUGUGACAAAGUAUCAUGUCAUUGCUGUGAAGUGUUGCCAGAAGGUCAACAGAGAUUAUCCCUCCUGUCUACUCAGCCCCAGUGAGGGCACACCUGGAUCUUUGGGUUCAGUUUUGAGCUCUCCACUGCAAAAAAGAGAUGGAGCUACUGGAAAGUCCAGCAAAGGCUCAUGAAGAUGAUUAAGGGAUCAGAACAUCAAUUUGUGAGGAGAGGCUGAAAGAGCUGGGACUGUUCAUCUUGGAGAAGAGAAGGUUCAGGGGGAUCUUUUCAAUGUGUAGAAAUACCCGCAGUGAGGGUGCACAAAGGAUGGAGCCAGGUUCAUUCCAGUGGUGCCCAGUAACAGGACCAGAGGCAAAGGGCAUGUGCUGAAACAGGCAGUUUCCUUUGAACAUCCAGAAACACCUUUUCUUCAACUGUGAGGGUGACCAGGCACUGGCCUGUGUUGCCUGGGGAUGUGGCAGAUUCUCCAUCCUUGGAGAUACUCAUAUACUGUCCAGACAUAGACCUGGGCAAUCUGCUGGAGUGAUGAGGUUGGACCAGGUGAACUCCGGAGAUCCCUUUUAACCUCAACCAUGCUGUGGUUCCAUGUUUGUUUCUUUUUUAUGGGCAGAUUGGUUUCACUUUUCACGUCCAUUCCAGGUGACAAUUAUUAAUUAAAUUAAUCAGCUUAGCAGUAAAACUAGCCAAGUUUUAUGUAAAUGCCAUAAUCUUCCUAGUAGCUUAAAUUGCAUGGGGCUGUAGAUGCAUAAAUAUUUCACUGCAUGUAUGUGGCAAAGGCAUUUCUGCAGAGCAGCCAUGAGAUGACAGAGAUUCGAGGGGUUUUGUGUUGGAGGAAGAGCUACAGAAAUCCCAAAAUAAAUUGAAUAGCAGCCAUCACUUGUGUAGCGUGGAACACGCCAGCAAAAAGUGCAUUGAUACUUUACACCACGGCACCACAAGGAUGGAUUUUCUGGCCACAAGGAUGUGUUGUGGUGGCCCACCCUAAGAGCAGCCUGACCAGGAAGGGUCACUGCACUUGAACAAAAGCUUUUCUUUGCUUUCUCUGCUCCCCUGCCAAUCUUCAUCUAAAAUUACUUCUGCCACUUCAGGAGUGAUUCUGGAUUAUCUGAAGUGUACACUGAAAGUAAUCUUUGCUUAGAAAUGCAAUCAGAACAGUAAUCCUUGACUCAUUGGGGUGGCUCAGCUGAGCCCUUAGCAGGGGAGGAAUUUAUCUCCCUCCUUCCUUGUGGGGAACAUGUGGGGAUGUUCCUGUCUCUCUGUCUGUGGCCAUUGCAAUGACCACUCUGCUGCCCUGGGUACAGAGAAACUUGACCUUUCUCUGAUAAACCUUCCUUCUGGGCAUGUGCCACCUGCAGCUGAUUUCCCUGGCUCUGCAUUAGGAGAUCAGAAGAAGCCAUGGGUUCUGGUCACUUCUGAAGGUGGCAUAGUUGCUGUGAUAGUGGCAACCAGCUUUGCUUCACCACUGUUAGUCUCAGACUAGUUCAAGUCUGGCAAGAUCUCUGGAGGUCUCUAGUCCAAGCUUUGCUUACACAUGAUCUUCUCCAGUUAAGUUUUAAAUACUUAGAAAGUCAGAGAGCCCAUGAUCUCUGUUCCAGUGCUUGAUCACCUUUGCUUUUCCUCAUAAUGGAUUUCAUUUGUUCCAUACUUGCCUGGUUGCCUUUUGUCAUAUCCUAAAGGACCUUGGAGAGGAACCUGGGCUCCAUCGCUCUACACCCUUGGGUUAAAGGUUGAUGGCAGUAACAAGAUUUCUUAAGGCUUUUUUUUUACCGCAGCAGUGUGGUCUCUGUCUGAUCCAGAAAUACACUGGAGUUAGGUGAAACACAAAGAAUUGUUUUCCCCUCUCAUUCCUACUCCCAAGUCUGCUUACUCACUAGAAGUAUGUGGAUGUACAUAACUCCCUGAGGAAAGUAAAACUGCCAGAUCAUACAGGCAGAGAGUGAAAUUGGGAGGCAAACUCCAUCCUAUGGUGACCUAUAACACAGCAGAAGUUUUCUUCCUCAGAGGAGCAGUAGUAGCUGGACACAGUUGCCCCUCUUACCCAUCCACACAGGGUUUGCCAGGGAGUCAGUGGAAAAGCAAAGCGAUUCACUGGUGGGAAUCAUUCUGAAUCUUUACUUUUGCCCUGAUCAAUUGCAUAAGUUGGAGACCUUUGCCAUAAGUGGGGCAAAAUGAGGCCACGCACCUGCACCAUCCCUCACCAGAAUGGGAUUAGCCUUGGAGAGCUUGUGCCAACCAUCAAGCAUGGAUUUAUUGUUGCAUUGUUUUCCUUUUAACUUUAUACUUGCCGUAUCAUUUGCUUCAGAAAACUGUGGGCUCCCCCACUGUUUGCAGUUAGUAAUUUCUUCUUCUGAGUGGGAGCAGGACACGGUGGACACCGUUGAUUUGGGCGACUGGCAGGAGGACACUGCUGGCAGGAGGACACUGGGCACUGCAGCCAUUCCCACAGGGCAGGUGCCACUUCUGAGCUGUACUUGGUGCCUUCAAACCUGCAUUUCUGUCUGCCUCAUGAUGGAUCCCACCAUGGACUGAAAGGUGGCAGGCUAUGAGUCUGUGAUUGCUAUGAGCUUAGACAAAGCUUUGCUUUCACUUGUCACUGUGAGAGUUGUGAUCUGCCUGCCUGUGAUCUCCCUUGCUGUCUUCACAUGAGCUGUAUGGUACCCAGGGGCUGGGGAGAUGGCCUCAGCUGCUAAAACUAGGAAGGGGUGGGAGGCACUGUGAAUGGUGCUGGCUUUUUAGGUGCACCUGUGCCCUUUUCUCAGACUGAGGCAGUUAUACAUCUGGUCAGGUUGUCUAAGGAGAGAGAGAUUUCUUGAGGCCCUUGACUUCAGAAUUGGUUUUAUUGCUACUAAAUGCUAGAGCAGAGACCCCAUCAGUAAACUUCCCUACUCUCCAGUGAGCAAAACAAGGCAUGAAGCCACUCAGCUCUUUCUUUUACCCCAGAGAUCCUGCUCUACCCUCAUUGCAGCAGUAGGACGAGUGCUUUGGGACCACCCAGGUCUUGGCUCACAUUCACAACAGUUGGAGCACACACAGUGCCAGCAUGUACAUGUCUGGUGUUUGUCAGACUGAAUUUGACCCUGUUCCAUACAUCAGGUGAUAAGUGAAGGGCAUUUAUGGGUAUUGUAUGUGGCGCCAUGUUGUGACCUGGAGAGCUUUCUGCAGGUUGGCUUCUGGCAUGGCAGCUGCUGCAUAUUAUCCCAGCACUUCUCAGCUUGUAGUGUGAGACUGGGCUUGCAGCAGGACAUGGCAGGCUCACAGUCUGUCUAGGGCUGUUUCCUCGUUUUCAUUUCCUUCUGUGACUUAAUAUAUUCAUCUUCAUGUAAUAUGAGCUGUAAUUCAGUUUUAAAAGCCCACACCAUUAGGCUGGGCUCCAAAGUGCCCAUGAAUUAUAGAGGUUGAAUAGUGGGGGCUGAAAAUACACAGUUUUCCAUUAUGUCCUGCAGCUGCCAGUGUUGCUUCGCCUCAUCUGUGUUGGGCUGGUGUUUGUGUGCAAUGCAGUGAUGUGGGCAGUCUUCACAAAAGCCUUACGACUCUCCUCCUCCUCAGCUGCUGCCUCGGUGACAACGACAGCCUCCAACUUCAUCUCUUCGGCUAUCCUGGGAAAAUUGCUCUUCGGGGAGACGUGGACACCUCUGUGGUGGGUCGGCCUCACCAUGACAGUCUGUGGACUCAUGCUGCUGCACACUGCUGCACCCCAGCUGGUGCAGGUCCCAGCGGAGAAGAAGGAGUGAUAGUUCCUUCCAGAUAGCUGAAGGGGUCACGGUGCCAUGCUUCCCUCUCCAGCCUGUCUCAGGACAGCAUCCCCAGUCCCCACUGGCCUCUGAACACAUCAGCCACCGAACUGCUAACCCCUGCUCACUGCUCAUCUGCUGACUUCCAAAAUCGAGCUGGUCACAUCCUUCCUGGUGGUGGUAUGUGGCAGUGGCAGCUUCGGAGGGAGCUGGUCAACUCUGAGUCAGUAUGGUGAAAAUCAGGGCCAGAGGCUUAUCAGCCACUCCUCCUCUUCACACCCUGUGGCUGUGGAGCUUUCUCAGUUUGGGGAAUGCUGAAAGUAUACAAACUAAACAUAGUGGCUGUGGAAGGAGCUUGUACAUCAAUAUUUUUCCAUGAAAGGACCUAUACCAAAAUAGAAAAGUAAUUAGAGUUAGAUGCUGAAGGUUAUUUCUGCUCUGUUGUUCCUGACUUCCUGUCUCUUGAAAUGGUUCUGUGCCCACUGCUACCUGUAAGGCUGUGAAGACUUUCAUUAAUUCUUUCAGCUUCCUCUAUCAGUCACAUACACCUUUUAACUUGUCAUUUGUAUCUGACAUCUAGAAUUUUCACUUACCCAUUCCUGACAUGUUAGUCACUGUAAGGUUGCGGCGCUUUCCUUUAAACCUUUACCCAGCAGAGUUUUGAUCACCAUUCCUGCGUUGUGUAGGUCAAACUAAUUUUGGGACAGUUCAACAGGCAAUCUGCUUUCACUUGGAGUGUUCAUGUUCAACACGUCUUUCAUCCCCAUUCAAGUUGACAACUGCUUUAAUGUUUGGUAAAAGGGAGUUUCUCAAGACACAUUUUUUCUACACCUCUGGAUGAUGCUUAUUCCCAUUGAUGUGAUGUGGUCAACCAAAUCACUGGUAUCUGCUAAAUUUUGCAUCAGUCAUUACUCUGUGUUCAGGUGUCAAUUUGGUGAAUGUGUCACGAAUCAUCAUUUUUAAGGUAUUGGAUUCAUUCCCCUGCCCACUUCUUUUUUUUCCUCCUUUGAAAUUCUUCGGUUGGAAUCCUAAUUAAGAAAUAUCAUGAUGCCUAUAAAUGUAUGCAUCAUGCUGGUGAUAUCACUUGCUUGCUCUGGGCUUGCCAGGUUGUCUCUGUCAGACAGAAGGUGAGUCGCGGCUGUGGCAUGUGCAGAAAACCUAAGGACACAUUUCUGUGAGCAUCUGUAUCACAACCUGUCAGGUCUGUCAUGACUGGCAGAUCUGUGCUGUGUCAAGUGUAAAAUAGACUUGUGGAUGGAAAUGCCACCAGGGUUGGGUUUGUGCCUUCUUUGAAUCAGAAGAGUUAUUGUCUUUCAGAAGAGGACAAGAGACAUUUGCUCUGUUCCCUGCCAUUCUAGCUCACUACAUCUAGCAGCCAUGUCCCAAGAGGGCUAAAGCCUUCGCCUCUCCCCUCAAUGUGCUCUCAAGUCUUCCUGUAAAAGAGGGGAGCUGCAUAUGUGGGGGAGAGGGCAGAGUGCUCUGAGUGCCUUCCCUCCCUGCCACCAUUAGUUUUGCAGCUAGGGAGCUCUCUGGUGUCAGUCGUGGUAGGAUGGGACACAUCCAGUUGCCUGGAAAACUGGGACCUGACACAAGGACCCAGCAUCUGUCAUAGGUCUGUAGACAUGACAGCCAGGAACCAUGCAUUUCUAAGUACAUCAGGUCUCCUUAGAUCUUCAUAGAUGAUGGAAAAUUAAUGGAGCCUGAUUUAUUUGCCCUGGUUAUUAAUCCUCAGCCAGCUGUAAGCCAUGGCUGCCUUCAUGCAAACACCAGUAGAAGAACCAGGCUUUCUGGUUAAUUUGGCUGUGGUCCCAUUUCCUAACAAACCAUUUGGAAAGCUUUUUAACCUGGACUAUCUCAAAACUGACAUUUCUUUAUUACAGUCAUUGUUGGAGGUCAAGUUUUAGGAGGUGUUUCUUCGGAAGUGGAACGUGUGCAGAAGGUGUGAGCAGCACUUUACUUUUUGGUGCUCACCUUAAGGUGGAUGAAUAUAAACCAGGGCUGUAAAUUCUCUCAUAAAUACUUGAAGGUGGAAAUGGAAGUAAGUUUUUCUCCAAUUCCCGUGGUAAGAUAAGAGUUCAUUUUAUGGCAGAAUCCCACCCCUCUUGUGUACACAAGAGUUUGGCCAUGUCUGCCAGCGGGGCCAGGGCUACAAGAAAAAUUGUAAUCACUGUGUGGCAAAGCAAUGUACUUCUGGUAAACCAUUCAUAUGGGAUCAUCCAAAAUGUGUCUGAAGGUAAUUAAAAAAAAAAAAAAAAAAAAGGAGGGGGAUUUCCAAAAUAAAACUGUGUCCAAAGCUCAAUGGCUGAUUUUUUUUUUUAAUUUAUUUACAGACGUUUUAGACCACACAUACACACAAUAAAACAAUAUGAGACUAAUGAAUGUGCUGUGUUUGACAAGUCAGUGGUUCAGAUGUGGUGGACUUUGUAAGAUGGCUGAAGAUUAUGGCCAACUCCAAGACCUUGGUUUACCAGGGCAGACAGUGGCUUACUUUUUUGUGGGAACUACAGCAGUGUGCUUGUGUGAAGCUUUUGCUCAGUUGAGGUGAGGUGUUAUUAGAGAAGAGUCUUGGGCACAUGUUUCUACCCAAAUUCCAGCAAAAUGCACUUCUAUGUGCACAUCUCACAGAAACACAGUGCUGUAUCUCUACAGCACUGGUGGAUAGGGGCAAAGCCAUGGAUGUUGUCUACCUGGGCUUGUGCAAAGCAUUAGACACUGUCCUGCACGACAUUCUUGUCUCUAAAUUGGAGACAUGGGUUUGAUCCCAGGCACACCUACAAGCUGGGCUGAAACAUGAUUGACAGCAGACUUGUGGAGAAGGACUUAAGGGUGUUGGCUGACCAGAAACUCAACAUGAGCCAGUAGUGUAGGCUGGCAGCCCAGAAAGCCAAACAAAUCCUGGGCUGCAUCUAAAGGAGCGUGGCCAGCAAGUGGAGGGAGGUGAUUCUGUCUCUGUACUCUGCUCUUGUGAGACCCCUGUGGGUCUGCAUCCAACAUUCUGUGGUCCUGCAUCCAACUCUGGUGCCCCUGACGCAGGAAGAACAUGCAACUGUUGGAGCAAGUCCAGGAGGCCACAAAAUUGAUAAGAGGACUGGAGCACCUGCCCUAGGAAGACAGGCUGAGAAAGUUGGGGCUGUUGAGCCUGGAGAAGAGAAGGUUGCGUGGAGACCUCAUAGCAACCUUCCAGUAUCUGGAGGGGACCUACAGGGAAACCAGAGAGGGGCUCUUCAUUGGGAACUGCAGUGACAGGACAAGGAGUAAUGGGGGAAAACUGUAAGAAGGGAAAUUUAGGUUAGAUGAAAGAAAUCUUUACCAGAAGAGGUUGCCCAGAGAAGCUGUGGAUGUCCCAUCCCUGGCACUAUUCAAGGCCAGGUUGGAUGGAGCUCCGAGCAGCCUGGUCUAGUGGAAGUUGUCCCUGCUCCUGGCCGGGUGUUUGGAACUAGAUGAUCUUCAAGGUGCGUUUCAACACAAACCAUUCCAUGAUUCUCUCACCUCCCAAGUGCUGGUUGUAAUGAGUCUUUCCUGCACCAAACUCUCAUUCUCAAACAGCACUUUGUUUUUCAGUAUCUUGUUCAUCAUCAGGCAUGGCCAUACUGUGUCAUACUUUUAAAGAGUAGGACAAGCAGGUGCAUGGUUAACAGGAAGGCUCACAAUGACACUUAGGAAGAUUCAAAUAAGAAUAUUUGAAUUAAUGGUGGGAAACAUUACAAAAAUCUGUUGUAUAAACCAGGUCCUGGAGUAUUGUAUUCUAAGGUAAACAAUGUCUCAUAUACCUUUACAAGGAACAAAGCCAAAUGGAAUUACAGUUUCAGUUGAACCAUAAACCAUAAUUUGACUGAUUAGAUAAGGGAAUAUAUAUAAAACUUUUAAAUGUCUCUGUUGUUAUUGACAAGGAGUCACUGAAAGUUUGUACAGCAUCUCAGUCACAGCAUAUAUUGAAAUCACUUGAAGGAUGGUAUGUCUGCCUAGGUGAUAAUUAUUUGAAGUAGAUGUGAUAAAUAAGUCUGGUAGAUUGUUCUGCUGAGUUUGGUAUAUUCAAAAUUUUCAGGGAAUUUGACUGAGUGCCCUCUGCUGACCCUUCAGAGACCUUAAAUGAUCACAUUGCAAGAGUGUCCCCCACACACAUAAUUACACUAUCUUGAAAGCAGUGGGCUGUUUUCGAAGAAGGAAGUCUUGUGACACACCAUGCCAGAAGAGUGCCUCUGACCUUGCCUGGUACAGAAAAAAAACAGGAAAUUAGGAAUAAAUGGGUACUAAUCUUGACAUGUUUGGGGUGCUCUUCUGCAGAAGAGCAGCAGCAAACCUUCAUUUCGGGUAAUCUGAGAAGUGCAGAGGGAAGUCACACAAUAUGGGCACUUAUCACAGCAAAUGGUGUGGAUAAGUGUCUGCAGCUCACUUGAUCUCGGAGAAAAAUCUGGGGUGAGCUCAGGUCAGUGGUAAAAGCCUUCCCAGGAGAACCAGGGCUUUGCCUCUAAAAAUCAUGUGUGUGGAGUGUUGUACCACAAGACUUUUAAUGGAAAGGAUUGAAGAAGACAACAUUCCCGAAAUUCCACUUAGGCAGAUGGUUGUU
rnacentral:lncRNA from 1 species